CCUACGGGUGGCUGCAGUGAGGAAUAUUGGUCAAUGGACGCAGGCCUGAACCAGCCAAGUCGCGUGAGGGAAGACUGCCCUAUGAGUUGUAAACCUCUUUUAUAAGGGAGGAAUACUCAAUACGUGUAGUCAGAUGCCCGUAUCUUAUGAAUAAGCAUCGGCUAACUCCGUGCCAGCAGCCGCGGUAAUACGGAGGAUGCAGGCGUUAUCCGGAUUUAUUGGGUUUAAAGGGUGCGUAGGGGGUUGAUUAAGUUAGUGGUAAAACGCCGGGGCUAAACCUGGAUUUGCCAUUGAAACUGGAGUACUAGAGUAUAGAUGAGGUAGGCGGAAUGAGUGAUGUAGCGGUGAAAUGCAUAGAGAUAACACAGAACACCGAUAGCGAAGGCAGCUUACCAGACUACGACUGACGUUGAAGCACGAGAGCGUGGGGAGCGAACAGGAUUAGAUACCCGAGUAGUC
rnacentral:rRNA from 1 species